rnacentral:rRNA from 1 species
UACGAAGGGGGCUAGCGUUGCUCGGAAUCACUGGGCGUAAAGCGCGCGUAGGCGGAUUUUUAAGUCAGGGGUGAAAUCCUGGAGCUCAACUCCAGAACUGCCUUUGAUACUGGGAAUCUCGAGUCCGGAAGAGGUGAGUGGAACUGCGAGUGUAGAGGUGAAAUUCGUAGAUAUUCGCAAGAACACCAGUGGCGAAGGCGGCUCACUGGUCCGGUACUGACGCUGAGGUGCGAAAGCGUGGGGAGCAAACAGG